rnacentral:misc_RNA from 1 species
AAGUCGUAACAAGGUCUCCGUAGGUGAACCUGCGGAGGGAUCAUUAACACGUUUACCAAAACGUUUUCAACCAAACUCUGUGAAUAUGUAAUAAUAUAAUACUCCCUUUAUAGUUUUGGACGAAUGAAAAACCAUCAGGGUGGAGAGUAUUAGUUAAUUCUAAUACAACUAUGGCUCAUUCUAGGGGUUCGUUAAUUCGAGAUCCCAAUCCACUAUAAAGUGUUGUUGCGACCACCUGGCAGUCUACAUUAAUUUGUAGCGUUCUUGCCGAAACCAUUAAAAAAAUAUUUUUAACCCCUUUAAAACAUAUUUAAAAACUGAACCAUUUUUUUUUCAUAAUGAAUAAAACCAUUUUUGAAAAAAAAGAUAUACGUAAUGCUGAACAACUCUUAGCAAUGGAUAUCUUGGUUCUC